rnacentral:lncRNA from 1 species
AUGUCAGAGCACCCCUGUUGGCAAAUCCAAGAGCACCAAGCCUCAGAGCAGGAAGGUUUCCAACCCCAGCCUCUGGCAUCAAGCACCCCUGGGUUUGGAAAAGUCUGUGCCUUACAAAGCAACAUAACACCCUGUCAUCUUCAAAGGGAAGGUCUACGGCCCCGCUCUCAGGAAAGUCCAGGCCCCAUGAUGAUCCAACAUUGCUUGCUCAGCCCUCAUUUAGACGUGGCUGGAGAAGCGCUGCAACCCGGCGCACUAAGCGUGGCCAAGAGGAGCUACCACACAUCUGAGGUCAGUGACGGCCGGAAGGAGACACCCCGUGUCCGAGGUCAGGGGCGGUGACAGAGAGGAUCCACCCCUCGCCCGAGGCCGGGGGCAGCGGCUGGGAGGAGCAACCCGAGGAGCGGUGGCUGCGCAGGCGCAGGAGCAGGAGGGCCUAGAGGAGCUAUCCCACGAUGAAGGUCAGGAAGGGUGGCAGUAAGGAGAUACCCCUCGUCCAAGGUAAGGAGCAACCGUGAAGAGAUACCCCACACCCAAGGUAAGAGAAACCUAAGUAAGACGCUAGGUGUUGCAAGAGGGCAUCAGAGGGCAGACACACUGAAACCAUACUCACAGAAAACUAGUCAGUCUAAUCACACCAGGACCAAAGCCUUGUCUAAAUCAAUGAAACCAAGCCAUGCC